CUUCAUUUUCAGCUUUUCCUUAUUUUGUUUGACUCCUGCUCUCCCCGUCUCCCUCCUCGCCUCACUCUUCUCUGCACCAAGCAGCUUGAUUUUGGGCUUCACCAUUUCUCUUCGAAUCAAGGUCUCUAUUUUCUCUCCCUAUUUUCCCAAACUAGGUUUCCCUCUCUCUGUGUAAAAACCCUAGAUCUCGCCACUGCCAGAAAGUCGAAGCUCGACCCUUCGAGCUUCAAUCCGCCUUGCUGAUCGCCUCCACCUAAACCCCUCUGUUGCAGCAGAAGGAAGCUAGGAGGUGCAGCAACUGGAAGUCGGAUUUCACUCCCGUGGCUGAAAUUAGAUCAAGUUUUGGCUGAUUUGAUCUGAGCACGCACAGAUUGUUUUCGAGGUUUUUGACUCCUACCCUCCCAGAAACUUGAUAAGUGCUAUUCUUGCUGAAGACCUGCCAUAUUGAUUGAUCUGUUUCUUCGUCGUCGAUUCAGCUACUCUCCUAGGUUCAUUGCAGAUUGAUGUGUUUGCUGCUGCGAGCUUCGUCUUGCCGUCUCCACAGCCCACUUCGCCCAACUCGAUUCAUCGUCUCAACCACCACCUCAACAUCGACCUUCCAGGUGUUAGAUCAAAGUGUACCUUCAACCCUCGAGAAGGUGAUCUAGGUGAAGGUCGUAAAAACAAGCAUUUGAAGCACGUGUAUGUAGGCAAUCUAUAUAUUAUUAUGUGAUACUAAUCAUUUUCUUUGUUUAUUAGAGAUUAAAAAUGCAAGUGUACUAAACUGGAAGCUCAAAUAUUGAAUAAUAUAAUGAACACCCGAACACAUGGUACAAUUUGACACAA